rnacentral:rRNA from 1 species
UACGGAGGGUGCGAGCGUUGUCCGGAAUCACUGGGCGUAAAGGGCGCGUAGGCGGCCUGAUAAGUAGGGGGUGAAAUCCUGCGGCUUAACCGCAGGGCUGCCUUCUAAACUGUCAGGCUGGAGCACAGUAGAGGCAGGUGGAAUUCCCGGUGUAGCGGUGGAAUGCGUAGAGAUCGGGAAGAACACCAACGGCGAAAGCACUCUGCUGGGCCGACACUGACACUGAGAGACGAAAGCUAGGGGAGCGAAUGGG